UGCGGCGAUCCCGGAGAGGCAGUCCUUUAACUUGCAUCAGCACUGCGGUUUAAGGCGCCACUGGUUUUCUUUCGCCUGUCCAGUUCUACCUUGGCCUGUGUAGCCACCUUAGACCUGCGGAAUCUGUGCCGCUGCUCCCUCUACCUUCUCUUUCGGCGGCCAGCACUAAGAAUUCGUGCUACGACGCUCGAUUCAGCCAGAAGGUGGCACCAAGUGUGAUCAGAAGCCAUACCACUGGUGAAGAGGUAUAUUGAACCCUGCCUGGCCCAGUGAGGUUACUAGAGAAUUGGGAGAGGCUUAGAUCAAUGUCCUGCGCAUGGUUAUCUACUCAUUGUGAAGUCUUGAAAAUCACCUGGGAUGCCUGUUAAAAAUGCAGAUUCCUGGGCAGCCAGAACCUUGUCAUUGGUCAAGAGCAACACUAAGACCUACCUGUCACUUAUGUUGAGGCUUCUUGCCCAGUGGGUUCAUCAGCAAGCCAGAAUGAAACGCCAUUGCCAUGGAUGUCCUUGUGAUGCAGUUGGGAAUUCUUGAUAAUAAAGCUGAGGAUCAGAGAGGUGGUGUCCCCAGCAUGCCACAGGGAGCCAGUGGUGGAACUGUAUGUGCCACACUCCAAAGAUCUUAACUACCUUACUGUACUUGAAGCACUACAAUGUGACGAGCAUAUUCUUCGCCAUUGGGAUAUCCUGUCUCCUCAUGGGGCCCUUGUCACUGUCUUCUUCCAGGACAGGGGCAUGAAAUGAAGUCUCACUCAGCCUACCACAUUAAUAGGGGUUUACUGUACGUAAACAUGUGGAACCUAGUGGAAGAUGGGGAUUUAGUGGGACUCUGAAUGAACAAUAUUGAAUACAGGAACUAGAUUGAAGCAGCCCUGAGUCACAGAAGCUGCAAUGAAUUCUCUCAUGGCCCUGAAGUAUGGUUUGUUCCCAUGGAGAAGAACCUAACAGAAGAUUGAUAGCGUGGACAUGUUGUUUCUGGCAUCAGGGAUGAGGGAUAAUUAACAUAUAGUGUUGUAUUAGUUUCAAGUGUACCAUACAGGGAUUCAGCAACUCCAUAUACUUAUUACUCAGUGUUCAACUCAGUGUUCAUCAAGGAGACCUUUAGAAACAACUUGUCAAGUCCUCACCAUGAAUACCAUUGGAAUUGCAGUUGGAAUGGCAUUGAAUGCGUAGAUUUAAUUUUUGGAGAGCUAUCAUCUUUAUAAUCUCCUCAUACAUGAAUGUGAAGUGCUUCCUCCAUCCUGUAAGCUUCUGGGAACUCAGUGCCCAUUGUAUACAGGAUAUGUACCCAUUGAAGACCUUCAUGCCCUCCAAUAUAAGGCUGUGUUCUCACUACAGAAGUUUGGAAUCAGAGAGUUUCUUCUCUCUGCUGCCUUUUGAGCUGCGGCACUAUGCUGGGAGAUGGGACUAUGGAGACGAAUUUAGGCACAGUCCCUGCCCUCAGGUGUUCUCAGUCUAGUGAGAGGGUUCGACGUGUACACAAAUAAUUACAACAGUAUGGUAUGCUCUACAAUGGAGGUAUGUACAAGAUACUAUGGGGUUUAGAAGAGAAAUCAUUUGAUUGAGUAUAGAGAUGCCAGAGGUUGGAGGAACUGAUGCUUAAGUGGCUUAAAAGAAGUAACGCUAGACUAGGAAGAAGACAGGGGAGUACCUGUUAAGCAAAGGCGUGGACAUUGGAGAUAGAAUGAUGACAUGGGGGAACUACAAGUAGUUCCUAAAAUUCAGACAUGUGGGCUGACAAUAGGUCCUUAUGUAGUAUUCCAUGAAAUAUGGAUUCCAUUUUGAGUGUUUAAGUAGGAGAUGCUUUUGAUGGUCACUCUGGCAGUACUCUAGAGUGUGUUCUAGAAGAUACUCAGAUCUGGACAGGGAGAUUAGUUAGUAGGUAAGAUGAUAAAUUACCUAAGGCCAGAAGGAGUGGGAGUGGAGGAAUGGAGCUAACUUCUUAAUGAGAGGCUGUACAAACAUGGACAUAAUAGAACAUGGGAAAAUUAAUAGAGGGGGCAAUUAAGCCUCUCAGACUUUGGCAAAUGUGCAAUCACCUGUCUCCAUCCGUGGCCUUGAUGAGAAAUCCCCUCAUGUUUUCUGGAAGAGCAUUGCUGCUGUUUUCUUUUGAACCAGGGCUUGACUGUACUGUUUUUUGCAAGUUUCUUUUUGGGAUGGCAGCUGUGUAUGAAAUGUUGAGUCUCAGAAAGACAUCUGAACAGCUGCAGACCUCUCAUAGGAUUACUUAGUUCCUGAUCCUUCUCACCAGUAGCAAUUCUCCCUCACUGCCACCUGUCACCCAAAGUCAGAGUGGAGGCUCUCAUCUCUCAGACCCCCUGAGGGAAGAGACAGCGCUUGUUGUCACUGUCUCAGUUCUGUUUUGCUUAGGAAUUUUAGUGUUUAUGGCUACCUCACAGUAAAAUACAUUCAGUAAUCAAAAAUCUAUACAUGCACUAUUCAUUUCCUCUUUUUUCAAAGCAAUAGGAACGUGUCCUUUGGAAAAUUCUCCACCUAGGGCUCAGAGGAGUGACCUUGGGAAUUCAGGGAAUGGAUCUCUGUGACUAGAACAAUUAACAGGAAAUUAUAUUUAAUUAGACCUUAGGUAUUUUCAGUGAACCCUGUGUAAGUAGCCAUCUAGAGGACGGUAAGGGGAAGAAGGGAUGGGAAAGGGAGCUCUGAGUAGGACAGCAAAGCAGAAUAGUAAAAGUUUGGGCCUGGGGACUAAAUAGCCUAGGCUCAGAUCUGCUCUUACAUUCACCAGUGUGGUGUCAAGCAUGGUUUUUCACCUCUCUGGUACUUGACUUUCUCUUAUGUAAAAUAGGGGUAAUAAUCUUUUUGGCAAUGAUUUGGGGAGGGGGUGAUCUCAAUGAUUUGUAAGGAUUUAAUGGAAUUGUUCGUGUAAAUUGCUUGGAAUGAGUCUGAAGUAUGCUAAAUACUGUAUCAACUGUAAUUGCUGCUGCUGCUGAUGUUGACCAUGAAAAGGAUUAAAAGAAGAUAGUUAACAAGAGGUGCUUAUUAUAUUUUACAUUGUCAAUGAGACUCUUGGGGUUCGAGAAAGAAAGGAUAACAAACUGAUGUGAAGGUUUUCAAUGGUGUGCUAGUAUGAAGUCAAUUCGUCAAUUCUCUGCCUUCUUUUUUCUUCUCUGCCAAAUAGGUUGGGAAGCCAGAUGAAGUUUGUCCAUGCCCUGAUCACUAAUCUAUUGCCUUUGCUCUUAUUUCCAAAUAGAAACCUGUUGAAAAGUUGUGUUACACCUGAAUAAAGGUUAUCCUAAAAAUGUAGAAAAAAUGCUUUGGAGUUGGUCAAAUACUGGACUUGAAACCUGACUCAACUGCUUUACUAGCUGUGUGAUCUAAGGCAUGUUACUACUUAACCUCAUUGAACCUCAGUUGCUUCAUCUAAUAUCAUAAUUAAUUUGCAGGGUUUCUCUGAGGAUAUUUGUCAAGUGUAUGUCAUAAGCACUCUAUAAAUCAUAGCUAUCAUUGUUAGUUCUUGGGCUACUCACCAUGUGACAGAGACAACAGCACGCCCUGGUGGCUGGGAGGACUGCAUGGAUCCAUCCUCAACUUGGAGUUGUGCUCUUCUGAAGAAAUCCUACUCGGAUGGAUAUAAUACAACCUGCUAAGUGUCCUAGCACUUAUCAGGUUGUAUUAUCAUUGUCCGUGUCUAUGGCUCUCGUCUACCAGACUCUAAAUUCCUUACAGGCAAGGACAGUGCCUUAUUCAUCUUUGUAUUCGGUGCCUAAUCCCGUGCACAUUGUAGGCCUCAUUAAAUGUUUGUUGAAUGAAAAACUGAAUCAUCAACAGACAUUAAUUGGGCGCCUGCUCUGUGAUCUCCAUGGGCUCAGCAUUUUCCCGCCAGUUGCCUACAACGUCCAAGCUGUCUUCAAUAUGCUUUCUCCUGAAGCUUACUCCUAUCUUCUAAUCCUUUUGCUGAGGACUUUUCUGUGUAGUGCAAGGAAAGCAAAUAUAUUUACUUCAUCUCAAGUACCAUCUCCAACCGAUUGAGAGUACCUGCCUUGAUUGUGUUUAUAAAAAGGAUUCUGAAGCCAGGUCUCAGUUCAGUGUGAAAGAGCAUUAUGACUAAUCAGCAGUGUUUGCCAAGGGUGGGGGAGGGGGGCAUAACAGCACAAGGGCCAUAUCUGUGUCUUAUUUGAUACUAUGUUUUCCAUGAAAUACUCUGUUUCUAUGCCUGCAUUUUAGUCUUGGCUACUUGCAGAUGUUGCAUGGCUGCCGCUGCCGCUGCCCCUACUACAGUUGCUGCUGGUUGCUCCUUGGGUAGGACCAAAGUGAUCAUUGAUCAGAAACUUCAUCCUCACAGUCUGGGGUUUGCUCCUGUGGCUGGUAUUCACAGUUUCCCCUUUCAACUUUACCUCAGCUAUCCCCUUACCUACCACACUGACAGGUAGGCCUCCCCUUUCCGUUCACCACCCAAAAGGCUCAUAUUUCUUUUCUUAUUUCGUAUGAUUAAUUGUUCUUGUUCCAUGAGAAGCCUUCUUUCUGUUAGAAGAUGUGACAACUAGAAUACAAGUUAAACGAUUCCAUCAGGGCGCUACAGUGAGUCAUAUAAGCUUCCCCUUUACUGUGGGAAAAAAUUGCAGACUUUGGGGCAGGAAGAACUGAGAAGGGAUGUGCGUUGUAGAUGUGGGAGAGGAAGACGAUAGCAGAUGGAAUAAGAUCCUGGGAAACGAUGUAGGUUGGGAGGGUGAAACCUGUGGCUCUAAAAUAGGGAUGGAGGGUUGAUAGCCUUGGUUGAAAGGAGUUUACCUCCUCACUGGAGCGUAGGGAUGGGAGUCAGGAAGAGUAGCUGAGAGGGUUGUUGAAGAUUUGUAAUUGCUGAGGUGAGUGAUGGAGAGGAAGCUGACCCGGGACAGGAUUAUGGAGACAAACCAAAGUCUAAGGACUAUUCGGGCCAAAAGGCUGGAGUGGGGCCUUUUGGUAUGUUAAAGUGAGAUACUAGCAUAUUAAAUGGUAUAUGAUACAUUCAGUUAAAGUGAGAAGCCAGUUUGAAAUGUGAUUAGAAACUCAGGAAAUUAUAAAGUGGUCUUAGGCCACUGUCACAAGUAAAUUUGAUUGCCUGGGACCAACCUUUAUUGACUGAGGAGUGGACAGCUAGCAAGAGAAGGGUUACACAGAAGUGAAUUUGGAAAUCCAGACUAUGUGUGGAAGGCAGUUAGGUCAGAAUUGAGCUCAAAAGUCUGAAUACAAAGAGGACUUGGUGUGAUCAAGAUGGGUGUGGAAUAGUUGGAAAAUUGCAAUAAUAGGACCUGUAAUCAGAGUAGAUUUUUAGAGAUUUCAAAACUGGAGUGGUCAAGAUACUUGUGAAACUGGGAUGUCAGAUGGUCAGCUACAUAAAUACUGAAGUGAGCCAGGAUUAUAGCAGAAGCCAGACUGGGAACAAACAUUGGGGGCCAGAUAGAAUAGGCUUUGGUGCCUGAGGAAUGGUUAGAGGUUGGCUCAUGGCAGCGGUGCAGGUGCAAAAGAGGAAAGGAUGUGGCGGGAUAGUAGUAGGAGCCGCAAAAGAGUGGCAAGGAUUAUUAGAAGUUACAAAAAAAAUUUAAUUUGCACAUUGCACUGUGGUGUUAGCUUGCAGAACGCCCAGCUAAAACGAUCCCCUCAUUUACUGAGCUCCUGCUCUCUCCCUGGCACCUUGCUCUGUACUCUCCAUUUACCCCCUUUGGGUCUAUCACAUACCAGGUGUGAGAGAAUGAGCAGCGGCCCCAAGCAAGGACAGCUAGGGUAGCUGCUGGCCCUCAGAACUGAUGGAAUGCUGUGACCACCUCAGCAGACUGGGCAGCUUGAAGUGGCAUAAAAAGAUUUCCUUGGGAUCAAAAUUUUCCCUUGACAUUGACCUAACUUUAUUACAUGGUACAAGCUUGUGUUGGCUGUUCCAUAAUGUACUCUGGCUUCCAAGCCUCUGAGUUGGGGAGUAUGCUGGUACUGUCCUUUAAAAAACAAAAACAGGCACAACACUUGAAAAAACACACAUAUUGAUUAAUUCUAAAAUAAGACACUCUGGUUAUCUAUUUGAGCUUUUAAGAUAAAGGAUAGAUCAAGGAAAACUCACAUUGAUGGGUGAAUAAAAAAACCACUUUGGAAAACCACUCUGAGGUCAGGAUUGUCCAGUUUAGUGGACUUACUAUAGAUAACCACUGUGCGGUCGGGAAGGAGGGCUAGAAAUUGAGGCAGAAAAUGUCCCUUAGGACCCAGAAGGUCAAGUUUAGGAGAAGAGAGUCUCUCUGUGAACCCUGUGACAUUGCAUGUAGUCAUUUUUCUUCAGUUACAGUCUUCACAUGAGUUAUGAAAUUUCAGUGAAGGUUUAGAGCCACUGUUAUAGAGAGACCAGGCCCUCAGCUCAUCCCCUUCUUUGGGGGCUGCUUUAUAUUUAUUCCUCAGGAGGAUCUGGUAGAAGACUUCGUGGGAGGAGAAGAAGAGGCAAGAACCGGACAAGGACUACAGCCUGUCUUCAUCUCAACUUCACAAAGCAUGAUUCGGCAGAGGGAUCAUCCUCUUGAGACUCUCCAGACCACAGGUUGCUCUUUUCAGUUGCAUGCUUAGCCCUCUCAGCUAUUUUCUCUGCUCAGAAAUUGUAUAUGUGCAUAUACGAACUAUCACUUCCAUAAAGAGUACUCCACAUUCCCAGGGGAAAAAAAAUCCCUAAAAUAAGGUGUAAGGCAGGCAGUUAGCUGACUUGAAAGUAACCCCCAUCCCUGCACUUCAUAUUACUUCUUUUUCCUUCUGCUCCUUGACUAAGAUACCACUGAUGACAGCAAACCAAAGCCAUACUCUCUUCUCCCACUGGCUUUCUGGCCUGCGUGAAUGCUGUUAGAAGUCACUCUUUCAUUAGCACGUCCUUCCCAUUUCUUAAGACCCAGAGAGUCAUGAAUGCUAGAGUUGGGGUCGAAUUUGCCCUACUUGGCCUCUGUGGUUGGGGAAUACGAAUGUUAAUCAGCCUCAUACCCACUCGCUCCCGAUUUCAUGACAGAUGCUAGAGAAGCUGUAGCCAAGGCUGGCAACCCUGUAGACCCCAGCCCCAGGACUUAUUCGAUGUCUCAGCUGGUUACAGAAUACUGGUAGGAGGGCUUGCCUUAACCCAGCCCCCCUUAUGAGUUCGUCAUCAGAAAUCAGGACUUGUCUUAGGGUAUAUGUUACAUAAGGACAGAUACCUCAGGGAUUAAUAGUAAACAAGAUCAGGAGUCCAGGUUACCUUUUCUCUCUUUUGGGAAUGGGUGGCAUAGGGUAAGUGGAAAGUCUUGUGCCUUUCAAAUAUAUUCCCAGUGAUUCCUCAGGAUACCCUGGGUCACACCAUCUGCUAUCUUAUCCCAGGUCUUGCCUUCCUUCAGAGUUUUUCUAGUGCUCUUCUUGGCUCUCACUAACCACCUUUUAUUCCCUGCCCAACCCUGUUGGGUUUCAGCAGGUGUUUUGUUUUGUUCUUUUCCUUUUCCCUUCCUCAGGCCACCUGUGACAGUCGUCACCUGGGAGGAGCCUUGUUGUGAAUGAGUGAAUGAAGCCUCAGUGAGUGAGUGGAGUGGCACUCAUGUUUUUCUCUGAAUAUAAGGAGAGGGAAGGAGGCCAUGAAAAUCCCAUAAUGGAGUAACAAAAAUUUGACAUUUUAGUAGAUACUGGACCUAGAAGCCUACAUGAAUGAAGGAAACAAACCUGAGAGAUCUUGGAUGUGAGUGAGUGAAGAUAGGAGUGAAUGCCUUAUUACCCUGAGUAAUGGAGGAAAAGGGGAAAAAAGUGUGAGGGAAGUCAAAAUCCUUUAUGUCCCUGGAGGAGGCCCUGAAACUAGCUUCAUAACCCAGUGACUUUUUAAGGUGGAUUAAAGAUGAGUUGUUGCACCGCACUACUUCCGUUGCUGUUUGUGUUGAGAGUUGCUGUUCCAAGCCGGUUUCUCAGGUACAGCUGCCUUUGUGGAGACUCCUCUUGACCCCUAUUGAAAAACAGCCCAGAACGAGGUUUGCAACUUAGAACUCUCUGGAUCAAUGACAGAGUUUUAAAGGGGUUGAGGACAGAGGAGGUAGCACAAGUAAUUCCAAAUAGCUCAGGUUUAUAUAUAUAUAUAUAUAGGAUGGAUAGGAUAGAGGCGGAGAGCCCAAUGGUUUUAGGCAACUCCAAACACCCGGUGAGGCAUAAGGAAACAGUACACUGAAAGGUCAGCCCUUCAGCCUAUUAUUUGUCAAUCUCCAGAGCAUGAUAGAAUAUCUAAAAGUUGUAAAAGAUUCUUUCCUAGAAGAGAUUCAGAAGAGGGGAACUUCCGUUAUGUAAUAUGGGCAUUACAGCUUUUAAAGAGUUCCCUACAUAGGUCAUGGAAAUUGUUACUCAUAUCUGCCUGUGGGUGACCAGGCUAGUAUUAACUUUGAGGUUUCAUGCCCUUGGAGAGAUCCUGCCACUCUCUUGCUUUGACAGGUGUUCAUCUGCAGAAUGAGUCCAGUACUUGAAGAAGUAAGAGGACAACAGGCAUCCAGGGGACAACAGUGUGGUCUUCUAAGUGAAGAUGGCAACAGAAAAGAUCAUGGACUUGGCUGGAUUGGGCUGGGCUUAUUUGUUGUUUCAGAAUUUUAAAAAUACUUUUUUUUUCUUGACAGUAAAAGUAACAGAUGAUCAUUGUUGAAAAAUCAAAGGUAUAAAUUAAAAAGUCAAGAACACCUAUAAUCUUAUAACCCAGAAAACAACUCAACAUUUGAGUGUUGCCUUUUGCCCUUUUAAAAAAGAAUGUCUGCAACACAGUUUUUCACAUUUUUAUUUUAAUUUCAGUUAGUAAACAUACAGUGUUCUGUUCAUUUCAGAUGUACAAUUUAAAAACAAAAUUGACAUCAUAUUGCAUAUGUUGUUUUCCAUUUUUCUUCAUUUGAAAAUAACGUGUUUCCAUGUCAUUACAAUUCUUUGAAAACACAGUAUUGGUACAUGGUAUUUUAUAGGGAUCUAACAAAAUUUAGGUAGGUAAUUGAAUGCUGCUGGACAUUUUGCAUAUUACCAAUUUUGCCUAUAAAAUGUAAUAAACGUAUGUUAA